UCCGGUUUGUCACCGGCAGUCUCCUUAGAGUUCCCGACAUUACUCGCUGGCAACUAAGGACAAGGGUUGCGCUCGUUGCGGGACUUAACCCAACAUCUCACGACACGAGCUGACGACAACCAUGCACCACCUGUAAACCGACCGCAAGCGGGGCACCUGUUUCCAGGUAUUUCCGGUUCAUGUCAAGCCUUGGUAAGGUUCUUCGCGUUGCAUCGAAUUAAACAACAUGCUCCGCUGCUUGUGCGGGCCCCCGUCAAUUCCUUUGAGUUUUAGCCCUGCGGCCGUACUCCCCAGGCGGGGUGCUUAAUGCGUUAGCUUCGGCACGGAGGGAGUCGACACCCCCCACACCUAGCACCCAUCGUUUACGGCGUGGACUAC
rnacentral:misc_RNA from 1 species